GGAUUCAUGACAAAAUUGUGUUUUGGUGAUGGUGAUGUGUUUGUACAUCUUACUUUACUGAACAUUCUUGCUGCUUACAAUUAUUUCUAUCUAUAAUGAACUUGGCCAAGUAGUUUCAGUGGAAAAUGUUAGUAAAAAUUAACAAAUUUUAUGAAAAUUGUUAAAAAUUGACUAUAAAGGACAAUAACUCCUUAGGGGGUCAAUUGACC
rnacentral:lncRNA from 1 species